AGCGCCGCACACGUGAGGAGUGCAGACCUCAGCACUGCAUUCAAUGACUCCCCCUCGAAUCUUCUCCGCACUUUUGGUCGUUUCUCCGCACUUUGGCAACACUAACUUGGCAAUGCCGCUUGAUCGGUUUUGUGAACUUCUGUCUGUUUUAAGUGGCUUCACCUGUAAAAUUAAUAUGAUUUCGUUAUUGUUGUGAGCGUAAUUCUCUUUCUGUGAACAUUAAUGUGCAUUGAUGCCAAAAUUUUUGUCGGAAAAACUUGCGCUAGUUUCAAUGGUUGCAUUGCUAAGGUUAGGCACAGACACACGUUAAAGGGGCCGAAAUAUAGGCCUAGCUCGGAUUUCCCAGCAUACAGCAAUGCGGCUUGAAUAUGUACCAGCUUCACUGUAGAAUAAACUUCCAGAUAAUAUAAUUCUUCGGACGUUUAUGGAGAAAAAUUUAUCCCAAUACUAACCCAACCUGAUGCCUAAGUGACUGAAAUCUUUUGAGAGGCAGCAUGAAUAUGGAGCUCCGCUGAAGAAUAAAUAUGGAAAUAAUCCUGCGGCCAUCUGUGGAGAAAACCAAUCUUGAUAACCAACCUGAUGCCAAAGUGACUGAAAUUCUUGAGGCAGUAUUCUCUGGGGAUGGAUGUCAUCAACUUACUUCUAAUGAAAUUAUAAAGUGAUUUGGAUGAUAAUUUAGAGGUUGUUGAUAACUCUUUAUGGCAAGAAGCCAAGUUUGUGGACCGAGAGUUCAACGCAAGGGGAAUGACCUCGAGAUUAUUAUGACCAGCGUUGCCGAAAUGCAGAUUUUCCCCCCCAAUUUGCCGAGAAAAAACUCUACGGAUGGAGAACCCAGCUUUCAAUGCCGAGAAGAGGUCAGCCUCCGCGUUCAUGCCGAGAAAAACUCGGCAUUCUUCAAGGAGAUUGAUUUAUCUUCUUAAAUAAAUUGAAAUACUUUUUUGAUAUUUAGCGCUCAUGUGUUUAUAUGUAAGAUCAAGCUAAAAAUUAUUAGUACUGUAUUAUUAUUACAAAAUAUAUUUGUAAAUGGUUGUUCAAGAGACUUCACUGUAAUAUGUUUAGGCAAGGUUGUGGCUGCCAAUAGUGGAAGAAGAGAGUCUUCUUGAAUCUUUUUACAUGUAAUCUCAUGGUAAUAAAAAUUACAUAUAAUAAGUAUACAUAUCUUGAUUCAACUUGUAUUUUUACUUAUAGUUAAUUGUACUAAUGAAUUUUUCUCUGGCCUAGAAUUUUAAUUUUGAGGGCACAUAUCCAUUGUGGUCCUAUAAAAUUGUACCUCAAGAUUAAAAGGCCACACAGCUUCUCGUCUUGCACAUCUGUUGCAACGAGCAUAGGGUAACACAGGGUCUUCCAUAACGUAAUUCAAACCAAAAAAAAAAGGUAGAUCUGUAAAACUAGCAGGAUUGAAAUAGCUGUAACUGUUGUAAUUGUAAUGUUAUUGAAUUUAAUGAGUUACAUGGUUGUAAAGUAAUUGUAAGUUAUUUGAUAUUGUUUCCAUUCAUGGAAUUAUAAUUGUAAUUUGAUGAUAAGACAGGUGACUACAUUAUAACUGACAUGAACCGCAUGUAAUUAUUCAAAGCCAGUUACCAGUGGCGUAACUACCAUUCCAUCAGUAAGGAAUCCAGGAGGAGCCAAGCUACAUUAUGGGGGAGGGGGGCCCCAAAGAAAUUAACAUAAAAUUAGUAUAUAAAAUCUGGAAUUAGUAAAAUAUAUUCUCAAAUGUAUUUAUACCCUGAUAUAUGAAGAAAAAUAAUAAAUUUAGAAAUGAUUAUACCUUUAUUUAAAAUUGUAAUCUUUGAUUUUCAAUUAAUUUUUAACUUUAAAACUUAAUACUUAGCUACAAGGAGAAUUUUAACUGAGGAGGGGAGGGGGUAACUUAAUACUUAGCUACAAGGAGAAUUUUGACUGAGGAGGGGAGGGGGUCAAGCAUCUGUCUGGGGGUGGGGCUUUAGGUCCCCUUGUGUCAUAACUACGCAGGCUUAAAAUAAUCCCUAUGAUAUAUUAACCUUAGCAUUUAUUUCUUUUCAUGGAGCGAUUUUAGAGACUUUGUAAGCUUGAGCUAUCAUCUUUCAGUAUAUUUCACAAUGUUUAUAAAAUAUCUAGUUCCGGAUAUAUUUCUUAUAUGAUACAACAUGCAUGGAAUGAUUUCCCACGAUGGGAUUUCAAAGCAUGUUGAUUGUUUAUUUCAUAUGGAACAAUAAAACACUAAAUUUGGGAGCCAGACUUGCUGAUUAUUGUGAUAAAUGAUAACUGACCUCGGGAUUUGCACAGUAGGCAUAACUUUCCCAAAUGUUCCAGUUCAUUUAGAAAAUAUUUCAAAAUUGGAUGGAAUUAUUUAUGUAACUGCUAUUUCUGGUAAUCAUCUUAGAA